CCCUAUGGGGCGCAGCAGGCGCGAAACCUCUKCAAUAGGCGAAAGCCUGACAGGGUUACUCUKAGUGGUUCCCGCUAAGGGGAUCUUUUGGCACCUCUAAAAAUGGUGCAGAAUAAGGGGUGGGCAAGCCUGGUGUCAGCCGCCGCGGUAAUACCAGCACCCCGAGUGGUCGGGACGAUUAUUGGGCCUAAAGCAUCCGUAGCCGGUCAUGCAAGUCUUCCKUUAAAUCCASCCGCUCAACGGUUGGGCUGCGGAGGAUACUACGUGGCUAGGAGGCGGGAGAGGCAASCGGUACUCAGUGGGUAGGGGUAAAAUCCUUUGAUCCAUUGAAGACCACCAGUGGCGAAGGCGGCUUGCCAGAACGCGCUCGACGGUGAGGGAUGAAAGCUGGGGGAGCAAACCGGAUUAGAUACCCGGGUAGUCCCAGCUGUAAACGAUGCAGACUCGGUGAUGGGAUGGCCUCGAGCUAUCCCAGUGCCGCAGGGAAGCCGUUAAGUCUGCCGCCUGGGGAGUACGGUCGCAAGACUGAAACUUAA
rnacentral:rRNA from 1 species